UACAGGGGGUGCAAACGUUGCUCGGAAUUAUUGGGCGUAAAGCGCGCGUAGGCGGCUACUUAAGUCGGAUGUGAAAGCCCUUGGCUCAACUGAGGAAGUGCACCCGAAACUGAGUGGCUUGAGUACUAAAGAGGGUCGCGGAAUUCCCGGUGUAGAGGUGAAAUUCGUAGAUAUUCGGAGGAACACCAGUGGCGAAGGCGGCUCACUGGCUCGAUACUGACGCUGAGGUGCGAAAGCGUGGGGAGCAAACAGG
rnacentral:rRNA from 1 species